rnacentral:tRNA from 1 species
CAGCCCGUAGCUCAAAUGGCAGAGCGGUCCCCCCGGCAGGGGGCAGGUAGGGGUUCGAGUCCCCUCGGGCCGACGA